UACGUAGGGUGCAAGCGUUGUCCGGAAUCAUUGGGCGUAAAGCGCGCGUAGGUGGCCAUUUAAGUCCGCUGUGAAAGUCAAAGGCUCAACCUUUGAAAGCCGGUGGAUACUGGAUGGCUAGAGUACGGAAGAGGCGAGUGGAAUUCCUGGUGUAGCGGUGGAAUGCGCAGAUAUCAGGAGGAACACCAAUAGCGAAGGCAGCUCGCUGGGACGUUUACUGACACUGAGGCGCGAAAGCGUGGGGAGCAAACAGG
rnacentral:rRNA from 1 species